UGCGGGCGCAGCUACUGAUCUUCUCAUCAUGGAGAAAAGAUUGGGUACCAGUUUAGGAAUGGCUUCUCUCCAUUUGGUCGUGGUAUUGUAGUUUUGGAGUUCUUUGGAGUGUUGUUGCUCGCUUUAUUGAUUCGUUUGCUUCAGUAAAGUCGCUGAUAGCAGAGAGUGAUAGAGUCCAAAGCUUGGUAGCACAGUGACUCCACAAAGUAUGAUAAGGAUGGGCUGGUACAGUUUUUUCAAACCGAUGCCAAACCAAGUAUGAUACUGGCUUGUUUCUUUGAUAUGGAUAUCGCUACAGUACUGAGGCAUCACUGAGUGAAGUGUUCUCCGUAACACUGCACACAACUGUGCUCUUCCGUCAAUAUCAGUACUGUGGCAUCACUGAGUUAAGUGUCCUCCAUAACAUGUGCUCUUCCUUCAGUACUGACCAGAGGAAUGCUGGCUCAGGAAUGGAUAAAGCAUGCCCAGGUCACAUGGAGUUUCAAAAGAAUCAACACUUUUCGGUUGUAUAGAUGAUAUUUUCUGAUGUGACUUUGGUAUCACGGGUAUGGACUAUUUGGAAUCGGUAUUGACCUAUCCUUAAAGUGUGUGUUUUUGUGGAAUUGUUUACUCGUUCUGCAUGUCAAAAAGUGUUGAUUGUUAUUGGUUGUUUUGUCACCAGUCAAUGGUACAGCAUGUAUGCUAAGUUUACAAUCCUACAUGUAAAUGUAUUUGUUGAUGUAUAGUGAGAUCAGCAGAGUGUCACCAAUUUAUCAUACCAUCUGCCCACUUUUUUUUUGGUGGCCAGUUGCUUUCAGCUGUCACUGGUUGCAAAUUUGGUACGCUGCAAUAUUCUUCAAGGGCAAAAUUUAUUAUAUUGGUAGAAAUAUGUAGUGCAAGAGAAACAUUGCAAGAACAAAUGUUUCUUCGUAGGAAACCUCCUUUCUCCACAGUCUAGUGC
rnacentral:misc_RNA from 1 species